AACGAACGCUGGCGGCAUGCCUAACACAUGCAAGUCGAACGAGACCUUCGGGUCUAGUGGCGCACGGGUGCGUAACGCGUGGGAAUCUGCCCUUGGGUUCGGGAUAACAGUUGGAAACGACUGCUAAUACCGGAUGAUGACUUCGGUCCAAAGAUUUAUCGCCCAGGGAUGAGCCCGCGUAGGAUUAGCUAGUUGGUGAGGAAAAGGCUCACCAAGGCGACGAUCCUUAGCUGGUCUGAGAGGAUGAGCAGCCACACUGGGACUGAGACACGGCCCAGACGCCUACGGGAGGCAGCAGUGGGGGAUAUUGGACAAUGGGCGAAAGGCUGAUCCAGCAAUGCCGCGUGAGUGAUGAAGGCCUUAGGGUUGUAAAGCUCUUUUACCCGGGAUGAUAAUGACAGUACCGGGAGAAUAAGCCACGGCUAACUCCGUGCCAGCCGCCGCAGUAAAAC
rnacentral:rRNA from 1 species